UUAAAUGGCCGCAGUAUUUUGACUGUGCAAAGGUAGCAUAAUCAUUAGUUUCUUAAUUAGAAGCUGGAAUGAAAGGUUGAACGAGAAAAUAACUGUCUCUUUAUAAAUUUAUUAGAAUUUUAUUUUUAAGUUAAAAAGCUUAAAUAUAUUUAAAAGACGAGAAGACCCUAUAGAGUUUUAUAUAAUUUUUUAUAAUAAAUUUAUUUAUAAUUGUAAAAAUUUUAUAUAAAGUUAUAUUUGGUUGGGGUGAUUGAAAAAUUUAUUAAACUUUUUUAAAAAUUUAAACAUUGUUAUAUGAUUAAUUGAUCCAUUAUUUAUGAUUAAAAGAUUAAAUUACCUUAGGGAUAACAGCGUAAUUUCUUUUUAGAGUUCUAAUCGAUAAAGAAGUUUGCGACCUCGAUGUUGGAUUAAAAUAUAGUUUUGGUGUAGAAGCUAAAAUAUUAGGUCUGUUCGACCUUUAAAAUUUUACAUGAUCUGAGUUUAAACCGGUGUAAGCCAGGUUGGUUUCUAUCUUUAAAUAAUUAAAAUAUUUUAGUACGAAAGGACCAAAUAUUUAAAAAAUUUUUAAAUUUAUUGAAUAAAAUUAAUUU
rnacentral:rRNA from 1 species